GUGUUGGUGGUAUAGUGGUGAGCAUAGCUGCCUUCCAAGCAGUUGACCCGGUGGUUCGAUUCCCGGCCAACGCA